rnacentral:sRNA from 1 species
GCGAUAUCGAAGACGAGGGCGUCGGUCCU